GAUGAACGCUAGCUACAGGCUUAACACAUGCAAGUCGAGGGGAAACGAUAGAGAAAGCUUGCUUUUUCUAGGCGUCGACCGGCGCACGGGUGAGUAACGCGUAUCCAACCUGCCCACCACUUGGGGAUAACCUUGCGAAAGUAAGACUAAUACCCAAUGACGUCUCUAGAAGGCAUCUGAAAGGGAUUAAAGAUUUAUCGGUGAUGGAUGGGGAUGCGUCUGAUUAGCUUGUUGGCGGGGUAACGGCCCACCAAGGCUACGAUCAGUAGGGGUUCUGAGAGGAAGGUCCCCCACAUUGGAACUGAGACACGGUCCAAACUCCUACGGGAGGCAGCAGUGAGGAAUAUUGGUCAAUGGACGGGAGUCUGAACCAGCCAAGUAGCGUGCAGGAUGACGGCCCUAUGGGUUGUAAACUGCUUUUAUACGGGAAUAAAGUGGGCCACGCGUGGUCUUUUGCAUGUACCGUAUGAAUAAGGACCGGCUAAUUCCGUG
rnacentral:rRNA from 1 species